ACGGCACUGCAGGGUGUACUUGUUUUUCUGGCAAGGCUUACCAUGACAGCACUAAGUCAGUAGGUGCCAAGUGUUCUCCCUUAAAACUCAUGCAUGGAAAGCUUCUAUUUCCUUGGGUGUUACAAGCUGAUCCCAACCAAGUCUUCCUCACAAAUCAAAGGGUAGAGCAGAGGUGGGCGAGUUGGAUACUCCCAGGUUACACUCCAGAUCUUGUGCUCUGCUCUCUACAGUCAUGGUGAAACAUCACCACAAGCCCAGCUCCAGAAGAGGAAACCUGAUCACCCCUUUCAGAUCUUUCAUGUGCAGCAGCCAUGGCAUGUGUGAAGCCAAGGGAUGGAGAUUCCAACCCCCAGCCCAGGGCAGGUCUGGAGGACAGAAGAAGAAGAGGUGCAUGUCCAUUAACUGCAGCACAGCUCUAUGUGCUUAUAUCACAUUUUUAUUGCACUGGUAUCCACCUGAAGUAUUUUAGAGAGAUGUUAUUGGAAAUAGGUUUCCCAUUUGCUUAACAGUCUCUUCUGUUCUAUAGUUACUUUGAAGUGUUCAUAAAAGCUGAGAUUUACAGAAUAUUAUUGUAGAAUCACAUAAUCAGUCCCUGAUUCUACAUUUUGCCUUUCCUGUAUAAAGAACAAUGCUAAUUUAUUGAA